GCCGUAUUUAGCACUAACUGAAGUUUAUUUAGUGCUUUAUCCGGGUAGCCGGAAAGUAGAGCAUUGCAGUAGUCCCACCUAGAAGUAACAAAAGCAUGGAUUAAUAAUUCUGCAUCAUUUGUGGACAGAAAGUUUCUGAUUUUUGCAAUGUUACGUAGAUGGAAAAAAGCUGCCCUUGAAACAGUCUUGAUAUGUUCUUCAAAAGAGAGAUCAGGGUCCAGAGUAACGCCGAGGUCCUUCACAGUUUUAUUUGAGACGACUGUACAACCAUUAAGAUUAAUUGUCAGAUUUAACAGAAGAUCUCUUUGUUUCUUGGGACCUAGAACAAGCAUCUCUGUUUUGUCCGAGUUUAAAAGUAGAAAGUUUGCAGCCAUCCACUUCCUUAUGUCUGAAACACAGGCUUCUAGCGAGGGAAAUUUUGGGGCUUCACCAUGUUUCAUUGAAAUGUACAGCUGUGUGUCAUCCGCAUAGCAGUGAAAUUUAACAUUAUGUUUUCGAAUGACAUCCCCAAGAGGUAAAAUAUAUAGUGAAAACAAUAGUGGUCCUAAAACGGAACCUUGAGGAACACAGAAAUUUACAGUUGAUUUGUCAGAGGACAAACCAUUCACAGAGACAAACUGAUAUCUUUCCGACAGAUAAGAACUAAACCAGGCCAGAACUUGUCCGUGUAGACCAAUUUGGGUUUCCAAUCUCUCCAAAAGAAUGUGGUGAUCGAUGGUAUCAAAAGCAGCACUAAGAUCUAGGAGCACGAGGACAGAUGCAGAGCCUCGGUCUGACAUCAUUAAAAGAUUUUGCAGGAGUUUCAUAUUAUUAGUUCAGCGCAAGACAACCCCCCCUCGCCUCUCCCGCCAAAUUCAAAACCAAGGCAGCACUGAAAAUGAGAGAUUCCUUUUCACAUGGCUAACAGCUAGUAAGCCUUCUUUUGUUAUUUAAAAAAGUUUGCGGAGCAAAAUGUCAUCAGCAAAGAAAAAUAAGGCAGGUGUCCGCUCAUUUUUUGCCUUCUUGGACAAAGGAAUAUGGGUUUGUUUUGCUGAAGGUCUGUUUGCGCUCUCUGUAGUAUAACUGUUGUUUGUCGGACAUGAAGUGUACAGCAUUAUUUUGAAACGAGACGUGAGAAAAACUUCAAGGAUGAGGACAAGGCUGAAGGAAUCAAUAAGGCAGUGUCCAGGUAUGAUAAAAGCUACAGAGGUUUUUAUUUUAUUGAACCUUUAUUUAACUAGGCAAGUGAGUUAAGAACAAAUUCUUAUUUACAAUGACAGCCUACCCCGGACAAACCCUAACGACGCUGGGUCAAUUGUGCGCCGCCCUAUAGGACUCC
rnacentral:lncRNA from 1 species